GUCCACGCCCUAAACGAUGUCAACUAGGUGUUGGGAGGGUAAAACCUUUUAGUACCGGAGCUAACGCGUGAAGUUGACCGCCUGGGGAGUACGGCCGCAAGGUUAAACUCAAAGGAAUUGACGGGGACCCGCACAAGCGGUGGAUUAUGUGGAUUAAUUCGAUGCAACGCGAAAACCUUACCUACCCUUGACAUGUCCGGAAGCCCUUAGAGAUUUGGGUGUGCUCGAAAGAGAGCCGGAAUACAGGUUCUGCAUGGCUGUCGU
rnacentral:rRNA from 1 species